GACAGCAGGAAGACCUGGGCCAGAACCCUACCCUUUGAGCUCCCAUGAUGAAUCAACCCCUUUGUCCAGCACUUGGAUGGGACUCCAGGCUUUGACCCACACAAGUGAAAGGCAGCCAGACCCAACCCACCUAUAUUACAGAACCACCCAUGGGAGGGAAGAAUGCAGCAGGGGCUGGAGCUGGAACAGCAUCUCUGAGCCCAGCAGGUGGUGGCACAAGGCCUGUACCCCAUCCCGUUCCUGGUGAUUUGAUUCAGGUCACUGAGCCUCUGGAGACAGGCAAGUAAGCACAAGCCUUUUCCCUUGCCCCUUCUUAGUGGUCACUCAGGGAGGUGACCCAUAGGGGUGUGAAAGGCAGGGUUCCUAGAGCAGAGAAGACAGAGGUUGGGCAUUAUAGCCAAAAAACAGAAAAUCAACGAAUAUUUUAUUUUUUCCCUGAGGCGCUGGGGUUGCGGGGCUGCCGCAUUCCUGAGACUUUCUUAUGCUUCUGGUCCAGCACCUGGGCCAUGUAGCUCUCCUGCUGCUUCUGGAUCCGAAAGUCAGACAUGUGAUUCCUGCAAGGGAGCCGGCCGGUCGUAGGCGGUAUGUGGCCCAGGGUAGGGGCCACAGGUCAGGCUCCCUGCUUCCAUCAACAACUCCCGCCUGGCCCAGGCCCCUCACCUGAAGAUCUGUUUCUGUUGGCUGAUAACUUGCUGCAACUCCUUAAUCUCAUUCUCUUUGCCAUUAAGUAUAUCCUCUUGCUUUGUAAUGUGAGACUCAAUUUCUGUGGGGGAGAGAGUCAGGGAGGAGGGGUGGCUCCUAGCCCAAGGCCCCUUCCUGAGCUAAGGCCUUCCUGUGUGGGACUCCCCCGCCCCUGGCUCAACAUGAACAGCUGCUAACACUUCAGCAUGAAGGCAUUUAUUAUGGAGUCUUGGGAGUGGCAGGGUCUAGUGGUUGUCAGGAGCUUUACAAUUCUAUUGUGGAUGUCACGCAGGUGAGGGCAGACGAAGGUUCUUGGAGAGAGGUGGGCAGCUGCAGAUUUACAGAUGCCACUUUCUUGGUGAGACCUUCCUUUGUCUAAAAGUUACAGCUCUUCCCAAUAGUUCCUGUCAACUUCUUCCUACUUCUCAGGCAUUUCUACUUUUUUCCUUAGUGUCUAGAUCUAACAUACAUAUUUAUCUUCCAAAGUAGGGUGUAAAGCCUACAAGGUCAGGGAUUUUUAUGUUAUUUGGUGCUUUAUCCCUAAGACCUAAAACAGUACCAGGGACAUAUUAGGGGCACACUAAAUAUAUCUGUGGAACGAACGGGCGGGCUAUACCCCAGAGGCCUAGGACUCAGAAAUAUCUAGUUCAGCAAUCUCAGUCCAACUGAGGGCCAGUUGGUCACUUCCUGGCACUAGGGUUUCAGGGGUGGUGGAGGGUGCGAUCCCUACCUGUAGGAGAUAGCUCCUGAAAGUAGUGUUAGGAGUUGGGGGUAGAGGACUGGGUUGGGUUGGGGAGGACAGGGGCAAGCUCAGUGGUACAGCACGCACCUAUGCAGGGCUGCAUUCUAUCCUUGGUACUACAAAGAGAAGACGUGGGGAUUGAUUAGAACAGGGCCACACAACAUUUCAAUAAAGCUGACAGUGAUGAGGAAACAUUACCACUUUGGGCCAGUUGCCUCUCUUUUCAGACUCAUGUUCUCAUCUGUAAGAUGGGGCCAGAGCCUCUAAACUGCAGUGGAGUACAAAGGACCCAGUGAGACACUGGUAGCAAAGAACAUCCUCAAAUUAGACACACAUUUGAUAAACAGUGAUUUUCUGUGUGGGAUCAAAAUCAAAGGAGGCUGUAGGGAUUCUGCUGGUGCAUCAUUUAUGUAAGUACCCCUCAGGGAGCCCUAGAAAAUUCUGAUUCACAGAAGAAAAUCCUGCUGCCUUUAAUGGCUGAAGAUUAACUAGGACUUGAACUCUAACAAUGUAGAAACGCAGGUGCAUUUAGGGUUUUAGAAAACUUGGUAUCAGGUCAAGGCCCAGCAUGGGGGAAGAGGGGAAGGGAGGAAGAUACCGACUGACUUGCCCACAAUGCAAGUAUUGAGCCCCACAGUCAGCCAGCUAAACUGAGGUCUCUCUUUGCUUGCUCCUUUGGGCCUGUGUCUUGCUGUGUAGUCAAACUGCUGUUGAAUUUGCUCAGUAGCCCAGGUUGUCUUUGAACGCACCAUUCUCCUGCCUCAGUCUAUGGUAUAGUCACCAUGCCUGGCCUGCUUUUUGUUUUCUUUUAUGGUGCAGAUAACUGAGCUAAGAGCCUUCGCAUUGAGCUAUAUCCUUUGCUCUUUUAUUAAUUUAUUUUGAGACAGCAUCUCACUAAAUCACUUAAGCUGCCUUGGAUGGGCUCUGCAGUGCUGGCAUUACAAGUGUGCACCAGCAUGCCAGUCUGCUUGUGAAGUUCUUUAGGCAAAAGAAUUACAAAACUAUGUAACUCUUAAAACCUGUGGCAUCAGGCUGGGCAUUUAGCUCAGCAGCAUUAGCACUUGCUUGGCAAACACAAAGUUGUUAAGUUCAAUUGGUGGUACCACACACACACACACACAUACCUGUAGCAGUCAGUAAAAGAAUGAUUUUUUAAAAAAUCCCUUCCUUUGUUGCUGGGCAUGAUAGUUAAGUUGCCAGGGCACUUAAUGAGACCCUGUCUCAAAAACCAAAAGAGGACCAGGCAUUUAGCUCAGCAAUAUAAGCACCUGCCUGGCAAGCACAAGGUUGUGAGUUUGCCCCAGUACCAAAAAAAAAAAAAAAAAAAAAAAGAGGAGCUAGGCUUAGUAAUUCACACUUGUAAUUAAGGAAGAUGAAGGAGGAGGAUCACCACAAGUUCAAAGUCAGCCUGAACUACAUAUUAAGUACAAGUCCACCCUGAACUAUAUAGUGAGACCCUCUGCCAAAAAAAGAAAGACAGGAAAAAAAAGAGGACUGAACCUGUAGCUUAGGAGUAGCACUCAGGAGGCUGAUGCAGGGGUAUUUCAGGUUGGAGGCCAAUGUGGACUAUGUAGCAAGAACCUGUUUAAACAAACCUCCCUAUAAGAACAGUGAUGAACACUGUAAGGAGAUGAGCACGAUGGCAUAUACCUGUAAUCCCAGCACUCUCGAGGCUGAGGCAGGAGGAUUGUUGCAAGUUUGAGACCAACCCCAGCUAAAGACGGGAAAAAAACCCAACACUGUAAGUACAGAAACCAAACCACACAGAGGAUCGUGGCAGAGGUGGGUACAGGUCAGGGAGAGGGCCACAGCACUAGAUCGGCCCAGGUAAGAGCCUGUGGCCUGUUGGAGGGGUUCAGGACAUUCUAAGGGAGGAAGCCAGGCCCUGACUCAGUGACACAGGUGGACACAGAGCUCUGGGCUUGGGCAGACCUCUACCAAAGAAAAUGCCUGUGGGAAAGAAGUGUCCAGUUGCCCCAAGAGAGAACUCCAGAUCCCGUUAGGAGAAUCAGGGUAGGGAGGAGGACACGAGACCUGCAGCCUUGGGCAUGGAAGCAGUGACUAUCUCUGGAGUCCCAGGAGAUCCUGACAGAAGCCACUGCUUAUAACCCUUUUGGCUGUCAGCAUGCCCGGCCAGGUCAAAAUGUCACCCUGCUGCCACUUCCCAGUGAGAACUUUAACCGGCAGACAGAAGGCUGGAGUGGUGGAUGAGGGAUGCCAGGCCUCUCUAGGUGAGGGUCCCACUAGGAGGGACCUGUCCCUCUUUUGGGCCUGGACUGUUUCCUACUUGAGGUCUGUUGUAGUGAACGAGGAAGAUAUUGUGUGUGUGGAUUUCAUAUCUCAUAACCUGGGUAACAGAAGCUCAGCAUUCUGGCAAAAUGAAAGAGGUUCCUGCUGGGCGUGGUGGUGCACACCUGUAAUUCCAGCACUCAGGAGGCUGAGGCAGAAGGACCACUGGGAAUCUGAAGCCAGCCGGGGCUACUUGGUGAAUUCAAGACCAGCCUAAAUUACAUAGUGAGACCCUGUCUCAAAACUGUCCCCUGUCCACCACCACCCCUGAAAUAACAAGG